rnacentral:lncRNA from 1 species
GCAAUUAAAUGCCACCAAAAAACACGCAGAUAACUUUGAGAAGGCCAAGUAAAGCGCAUAAACAAACUUACACUAUAGUUCAAAUCAUAAAAAGUCUAGACUUCAGUAUGUGUCUGGGACAGGCGACAAAAUCACUACCAAAAAAAGGUUGCAGCCAGAAACAUGAUCUUAAUAGAUAGAGGUUGCUUCACUUAAAGCACUUGGCAUCCAAAAGGGCCUCCCCCUCAAAUGGCUCACAAUCUUCGAUCAUCUGACUGGCACGCUCCUUUUGAGCUUCAUCUGAGAUGUCAACCUUUGUCCAUUCAUACAGCUCCAUGUCAUAGCACUCGUCAAUGACAAAUUGGGGGAUUUCUUGCCCACGGAAAAGCCACAGCCCCUUGACCUUGAAUGGAGGCUCUGAGCCGAUCACUAGCA